rnacentral:rRNA from 1 species
UAUUGGCCAAUGGGGGGAACCCUGAUCCAGCGACGCCGCGUGAGUGAAGAAGUAUCUCGGUAUGUAAAGCUCCAUCAGCCGGGAAGAANAAAUGACGGUACCUGAGUAAGAAGCCCCGGCUAACUACGUGCCAGCAGCCGCGGUAAUACGUAGGGGGCAAGCGUUAUCAGGAAUUACUGGGUGGAAAGGGAGCGGAGACGGUGAUGUAAGUCUGGAGUGAAAGGCGGGGGCCCAACCCCCGGACUGCUCUGGAAACUAUGUGACUGGAGUGCAGGAGAGGUGAGCGGAAUUCCUAGUGUAGCGGUGAAAUGCGUAGAUAUUAGGAGGAACACCAGUGGCGAAGGCGGCUCACUGGACUGUAACUGACGUUGAGGCUCGAAAGCGUGGGGAGCAAACAG